rnacentral:sRNA from 1 species
GUCGCUGCAAAUUCAGCGAUUGGGCUUGGCGGCCCAUACAGUACAAGGCGCAACAGCGCCCCCAUUACGAUUGCAGGCGCUUUUUUU